UCAGGAUGAACGCUGACAGAAUGCUUAACACAUGCAAGUCUACUUGAUCCUCGGGUGAAGGUGGCGGACGGGUGAGUAACGCGUAAAGAACUUGCCUUACAGACUGGGACAACAUUUGGAAACGAAUGCUAAUACCGGAUAUUAUGAUUGGGUCGCAUGAUCUGGUUAUGAAAGCUAUAUGCGCUGUGAGAGAGCUUUGCGUCCCAUUAGUUAGUUGGUGAGGUAACGGCUCACCAAGACGAUGAUGGGUAGCCGGCCUGAGAGGGUGAACGGCCACAAGGGGACUGAGACACGGCCCUUACUCCUACGGGAGGCAGCAGUGGGGAAUAUUGGACAAUGGACCAAAAGUCUGAUCCAGCCAAUUCUGUGUGCACGAUGAAGUUUUUCGGAAUGUAAAGUGCUUUCAGUUGGGAAGAAGUCAGUGACGGUACCAACAGAAGAAGCGACGGCUAAAUACGUGCCAGCCGCCGC
rnacentral:rRNA from 1 species